UACAGGGGGGGCAAGCGUUGUUCGGAAUUACUGGGCGUAAAGGGCCAGUAGGCGGCCAACUAAGUCACACGUGAAAUCCCCAGGCUUAACCUGGGAACUGCGUGUGAUACUGGAUGGCUUGAAUUCGGGAGAGGGAUGCAGAAUUCCAGGUGUAGCGGUGAAAUGCGUAGAUAUCUGGAGGAAUACCGGUGGCGAAGGCGGCAUCCUGGACCGACAUUGACGCUGAACGGCGAAAGCUAGGGGAACAAACGGG
rnacentral:rRNA from 1 species